CCUACGAGGGGCAGCAGUGGGGGAUAUUGCACAAUGGGGGGAACCCUGAUGCAGCGACGCCGCGUGAAGGAAGAAGGCUUUCGGGUUGUAAACUUCUUUUCUCAGGGACGAAGAAAGUGACGGUACCUGAGGAAUAAGCCACGGCUAACUACGUGCCAGCAGCCGCGGUAAUACGUAGGUGGCAAGCGUUAUCCGGAUUUACUGGGUGUAAAGGGCGUGUAGGCGGGACUGCAAGUCAGAUGUGAAAACCACGGGCUCAACCUGUGGCCUGCAUUUGAAACUGUAGUUCUUGAGUACUGGAGAGGCAGACGGAAUUCCUAGUGUAGCGGUGAAAUGCGUAGAUAUUAGGAGGAACACCAGUGGCGAAGGCGGUCUGCUGGACAGCAACUGACGCUGAGGCGCGAAAGCGUGGGGAGCAAACAGGAUUAGAUACCCCUGUAGUC
rnacentral:rRNA from 1 species